UGCCGGACCUGACUGCUAUCGGAUUGAUACUAAGCCAUGCGAGUCAUUGUAGCAAUACAAGGCAUACGGCUCAGUAACGCGUAGUCAACCUAACCUAUGGACGGGAAUAACCUCGGGAAACUGAGAAUAAUGCCCGAUAGAACAUUAUACCUGGAAUGGUUUAUGUUCCAAAUGAUUUAUCGCCGUAGGAUGGGACUGCGGCCUAUCAGUUUGUUGGCGAGGUAAUGGCCCACCAAGACUAUUACAGGUACGGGCUCUGGGAGGAGUAGCCCGGAGAUGGGUACUGAGACACGGACCCAGGCCCUAUGGGGCGCAGCAGGCGAGAAAACUUUGCAAUGUGCGAAAGCACGACAAGGUUAAUCCGAGUGAUUUCUGCUAAAGAAAUCUUUUGUUAGUCCUAGAAACACUAACGAAUAAGGGGUGGGCAAGUUCUGGUGUCAGCCGCCGCGGUAAAACCAGCACCUCAAGUGGUCAGGAUGAUUAUUGGGCCUAAAGCAUCCGUAGCCGGCUCUGUAAGUUUUCGGUUAGAUCUGUACGCUUAACGUACAGGCCGCCGGGAAUACUGCAAAGCUAGGGAGUGGGAGAAGUAGACGGUACUCGGUAGGAAGUGGUAAAAUGCUUUGAUCUAUCGAUGACCACCUGUGGCGAAGGCGGUCUACUAGAACACGUCCGACGGUGAGGGAUGAAAGCUGGGGGAGCAAACCGGAUUAGAUACCCGGGUAGUCCCAGCUGUAAACUAUGCAAACUCAGUGAUGCAUUGGCUUGUGGCCAAUGCAGUGCUGCAGGGAAGCCGUUAAGUUUGCCGCCUGGGAAGUACGUACGCAAGUAUGAAACUUAAAGGAAUUGGCGGGGGAGCACCACAAGGGGUGAAGCCUGCGGUUCAAUUGGAUUCAACGCCGGA
rnacentral:rRNA from 1 species